GACGCUGAUGGGGAGAGCAGAGGAAAUGGAGAAAAAAGGAAGAGAGGCCCAUAGAGUCGUGAGAAGAGAAAGAACAGCCAGCCGGUUCCAAAUACUGACUCCGAGCCACGAAGGAGUGAUUUGACCCCUGGGUCCCAAUGUCCUUACCUGUGAGACGAGAACAGCGACAACUAACUUGCAGACGUGACCUCAUCCUUACCACUAGGUGUCAGCGAAGUGUCAACCUCGGUGCAGAAGCCAAUGAUCCUCCCUGUGAUGGGUGGUCAGCUCAGCGGUAGCCUCACGUCACAGCGCCUGCGUCGCUCGCCUCCCUUCACCUCUCACGUGGGCAUUCUGUCACCUCCCAUCAUCACGACAUGGUUGAGGACAGCUCGAGAAGAACAAAUGAUGCUCAAGAAUCCCACGUCAGUGGAACUGCCAAGAUCUCCGAGCUG